rnacentral:rRNA from 1 species
UACGUAGGGUGCGAGCGUUGUCCGGAUUUAUUGGGCGUAAAGAGCUUGUAGGCGGUUUGUCACGUCGGGAGUGAAAACUCAGUGCUCAACACUGAGCCUGCUUCCGAUACGGGCAGACUUGAGGAAGGUAGGGGAGAUCGGAAUUCCUGGUGGAGCGGUGGAAUGCGCAGAUAUCAGGAGGAACACCGGUGGCGAAGGCGGAUCUCUGGACCUUUCCUGACGCUGAGAAGCGAAAGCGUGGGGAGCAAACAGG